rnacentral:sRNA from 1 species
AGGUUGAUAACAUCUCCUAACAAAAAUUCAAAAUGUAUAAAAUAUUUUCCUCAUAAAUGUGUAAAUUUUAGAGAAAUUGUAAAACCAAAAUCAAAAUUGUAAAAUUAAUAGUAAAGCAAAAAUUUAAAGCAGUCCGGUAUGAAAAAUUCGUGAAAAUUUACCAGUGAAUCGUUGUUAAUCUAAUAAUGUAAAAGAAAUUUGUUGUGAAAUGAGCAAAGACUCGAAGAAUAUUGUGAAAAAUGAGCAGAGAAUAAUGUUGUUAUUAUAUUUGUGUAAGAGACACGUAUUAAUCAAAGAAAAGAAAAGAAAAAUGACGAGAAAAUUGUAGAAGAUGACGAGAAAAUAAUUGUUAUUAUAAUAGUUAUGUAAGAGUCUUGUGAAAAAUGUCAAGAAAUAAGUGUUAUUCAAGAUGGUCCAUGGGCAACUGAUUAUUGUUGUUGCUGUCCAAAUUUCAAGUGAUUUCAGAUAUGAGACAAAUUUUAGUGAAACGUCAAGGCCUCUGGCAAUAACUGACCGUUGUUGUUGUCUUCUAAAUUGCAAGUAAGGGUGUGAAACAAAUUCCAGUGAAACGUACAGGCGUCUUGACAGCCUGCAGAGAUGUUUUAAGAGUUUAAUGAAGCUUACAAAGAUACACGACGAGCGCUACUGAAGGAUAUGGCCGAGUUUCACAAAAUUCAAUGUGUUAAUAAAUAUGACAUGCUACAGAGA